AAUGAACGUUGGCGGCGUGGAUUAGGCAUGCAAGUCGAGCGACAAGGUGUGAAGUGCUUGCACGGAUCACUGGAGGAGCGGCAAACGGGGUAGUAAGGCGUCGGAAUGUACCCUGGGGACCGGGAUAGCGGCGGGAAACUGCCGGUAAUACCGGAUGAUCUCUGAGGAGCAAAUGGUUUUUCCGCCACAGGAGCAGCCGACGUGAUACUAGGUAGUUGGUAGGGUAAUGGCCUACCAAGCCAAUGAUGUCUAGGGGGUGUGAGAGCAUGGCCCCCACCACUGGGACUGAGACACUGCCCAGACACCUACGGGUGGCAG
rnacentral:rRNA from 1 species